rnacentral:rRNA from 1 species
GUUUACGGCCACACCACCCU